rnacentral:rRNA from 1 species
GAUGAACGCUAGCGGCGGGCUUAAUACAUGCAAGUCGAGCGGACUUGACAGGAGAGCUUGCUUUCCUGUCGGUCAGCGGCGGACGGGUGAGUAACACGUGGGCAACCUGCCUGUAAGACCGGGAUAACUCGCGGAAACGCGGGCUAAUACCGGAUAGUUCCUCUUAUCGCAUGAUAAGAGGAGGAAAGAGGGCGCAAGCUCUCGCUUACAGAUGGGCCCGCGGCGCAUUAGCUAGUUGGUGGGGUAACGGCCUACCAAGGCGACGAUGCGUAGCCGACCUGAGAGGGUGAUCGGCCACAUUGGGACUGAGACACGGCCCAAACUCCUACGGGAGUCAGCAGUAGGGAAUCUUCCGCAAUGGACGAAAGUCUGACGGAGCAACGCCGCGUGAGCGAAGAAGGUCUUCGAUCGUAAAGCUCUGUUGUCAGGGAAGAACAAGUACCGUUCGAUAAGGGCGGUACCUUGACGGUACCUGACGAGAAAGCCCCGGCUAACUCCGUGCCAGCCGCCGCCGUAAGAC